AUGUAGACUAGUUGUUUUAGUAAGGG
rnacentral:piRNA from 1 species